rnacentral:lncRNA from 1 species
UCAGUUCUGUGUAUUGCCUCUGUACUUGCUCCUCCAUUCUUUGCUUCUCACUGCUUGACCUUCUUUGAGUUAGUCAUGAAAAGCAACAAAACGCUGCUUUAAGUUCAUAAAUCUUGGUCCUCCUACUUUCUGUGAACAGGUCCAGCUGAGAAAGUGAAGAAGAAACCUGUCAGGAUGCCAUUACAAGCACUGUAUAUCAGAAAUCCAUUGGAUGUAAUGUAGACUUCCCCUCUGCUGUGCGAGUUUCCCUGGUUUGGGCAACGAUGCUAGCUGAGAAUUUGGAAAGAUUAAUGAGUGAGCAGCAUUGCUUCCAUACUGCAAGGGGCAGUAAAGAAGAUGACGCAGGAACAGAUUCCAGAAAUUCAUUACCUGUUGUGGCACCUGUGACUGUGGAAGACCACUGGAGGAAAUUAUGUCAUUGA